rnacentral:rRNA from 1 species
GACGAACGCUGGCGGCGUGCUUAACACAUGCAAGUCGAACGGUAAGGCCCUUCGGGGUACACGAGUGGCGAACGGGUGAGUAACACGUGGGUGAUCUGCCCUGCACUUCGGGAUAAGCCUGGGAAACUGGGUCUAAUACCGGAUAGGACCACUGCCUGCAUGGGUGGUGGUGGAAAGCUUUUGCGGUGUGGGAGGUGGGCCCGCGGCCUAUCAGCUUGUUGGUGGGGUGAUGGCCUACCAAGGCGACGACGGGUAGCCGGCCUGAGAGGGUGACCGGCCACACAGAGACUGAGGUACGGCCCAGGCUCCUACGGGAGGCAGCAGUGGGGAAUAUUGCACAAUGGGCGCAAGCCUGAUGCAGCGACGCCGCGUGAGGGAUGACGGCCUUCGGGUUGUAAACCUCUUUCAGCACCGACGAAGCGCAAGUGACGGUAGGUGCAGAAGAAGGACCGGCCAACUACGUGCCAGCCGCCGCGGUAA